AUUCGUGGCCAAAGCAACUUGAGAAUGGCUGAUCUCUGAAGCUGAGCGGGUUGGGGCUGGUUAGCAUUUGGAUGGGAGACCACUGGAACACCUGAUGCCACGGAGG
rnacentral:rRNA from 1 species